rnacentral:rRNA from 1 species
UACGAAGGGUGCAAACGUUGCUCGGAAUCAUUGGGCGUAAAGCGCACGUAGGUGGCCUUGCAAGUCGGAUGUGAAAUCCCACGGCUCAACCGUGGACGUGCAUCCGAAACUGCUCGGCUCGAGUAUGGAAGAGGGUCGCGGAAUUCCCGGUGUAGAGGUGAAAUUCGUAGAUAUCGGGAGGAACACCAGUGGCGAAGGCGGCGACCUGGGCCAAUACUGACGCUGAUGAGCGAAAGCCAGGGGAGCAAACGGG